CCGCCCGCGCCGCGGGGCGAGGUGAGGUGAGCGCCCGCUCCUGCCAUGGCGGCGCUGCGGGACGUCUUUCGGCGGCCUUUCGGCGGCCCGCUCGCGGUGGGUUUCAGUUCCCCGGGCAGCGAGCCGACGGCAGCGGUGGUGUCUGUCAGCGCCUGUCCUGCGCCCCCGGCCUGCCGAAGAUCCCUUUGGAAGCGAAAAAACUGCUUUGAAGCAUCUAGGGGAAGCAGGCGGGAAUUUACUAUAAAUUCCUCACAGGUACAGCAGCUCUACAGAAGCAGCUUAAUUUCCUCCCGGCCGGCUGCAGGCAGUCAGCACAGCCACUCACCUCCGCGAGGCGCUGCCCCCCGAGCUCUGCUGCUGGCCGCGCUCGGUGCGGGACACGCGGUGCAGAAAGUGCCAUUUAGGAGUCUGCGCCAUACGGAUCGCGGGGCCAUUAUAAAGCCGGGCUGUGUCUGUGCUGUGUGUUCUCUGAGCUUGUUGGAGUGUCUGUGUUCACCUUUCUGUUUCGAGCGGUAGUGCGAAAAUCAUCGUUAACUUCAACACGUAUAAUUUGUGUUUCCUUUUCAGACCCUUUGUGGCGUAUCAUAAUGCUGGCCAAUCUCGUAUUUUUUCUUUGCCUGGCUAUUAAUGCUGCUUCUUAGCUUCUUCUCAUUCUCUAGUCAUACACGAUCCUGCCCCUCUGUGCUGUGGGGCCUCACCUGGAGUACUGCUUACAGAUGUGGAGUCCUCAGUACAGGAGAGACACGGACCUGUUGGAGGGUGUCCAGAGGAGGGCCACAAAAAUAAUCCCAGGGAUGGAACACCUCUCCUGUGAGGACAGGCUGGGAGAGCUGGGGCUGUUCAGCCUGGAGAAGGCACUGGGGAAACCUGAGAGUGGCCUUUCAGUAUCUAAAGGGGGGCUGUAAGAAGGAAGGGGACAGACUUUUUAGUAGGGUCUGUUGUGAAUUGGAAUUUCACACUUGGAAUUUCAUCACCCUAAUAGAAAUCAGGAGAGGGAAAUUGGUUUUGUGUGCCUCUGCAGAUGGUCAGCAGUGGACAGGACCCAGUGACAGACAUGGAAGAGUUUGGUGCUUCUGACAACUGCGGAGCGUCGCUGAGGAUCCCAGAGCUGUGACUGCAGUUUUCCAAUUCCCAGGCUGUCUUGGCAGUAGAGGAAAUGUGAAGAAGAGCUAUGUGUCAUUUGAAUAGUGCUGUCAUCUUACCAAUUACUACUAUAGCUGCUGUACACAGGUGUUGCAAGGUCAUACCUUCACCCAUCCGAGGCAAAGACAUGAUGUUAUCUGCCUGAAAAUAUCUGUCUGGGCAAUCCUUCAACAAGACUUCUCCCACACAUCAAUCCAACUUUCUUUUUUCUCCUGUAACUUCUUGCUUCUUUCAUGUUGCACAAGAGGUUCCCUAAAACAUUAAUUUUUCCUCCUCCAAAUUCCUACACUUGAAUUGAAUAGAAUUUGGAGUGGUAUGAAGUGCCUCACACAGAGAAGAACCAGCAUUUUGAAGGGCCUGCAGGUGCUGCUACCUGAAGGUUAGUUUAACAACUGAAAAUACUCUAUCGUGAAUGGCCUCAAUAUAUCAUUCAGGUGGUAUUCUUAAAAUUAUAUUUUAAUAUCAAUUAAAAUGUGAAUAUCAGUUAUUUAAUGCAACCUAAAGGAAGUUUGUUUUGUUGAAAAAAAAAAAUGAUGAUCAGCCAUAGUUCUGGCCUGUAAUAAGUUCAAGUGUAUGAUGGCUUCCUGUGCUCAGGCUCACCAGGAAGGGGAAUCAGGACAGCGCACGUUGGCAGGUGGGAGUGUAAAUCCGGGUAGGAGGAGAACUCGUGUCAGGAAUGUGUCAAAUCAAUCUCUUCCAAGCGGGAUCCUCAAAAACCUAAAGGUUCAAAUUUGAAGUGUAUUCCACUCUGUGGAAAAAAAUAAUAAAUGAGAGCAUCAAUAUCUGCACUCUUCAGCUUUAAGCCUCCCAGGGGUACAGGCAAUCAGGCUGAUAAGUUGUAAUUUCACACCCUUUGCACCAGCUGCACUUAACUCAUCUGAUUUUUACCUAUGUCACCGGUAGCACCGCAGGGAAUUAGAAUGAAAGAACUAUUAAAAGCCUAAUGUAUUUUUUCGUAUGUAGGUUGUUUGCAUUUCUAAUGCCUAUUUUGAAGCCUUGUGUGAAGUGGAAAGUGGAGGUGAUAAUUCAUUAGCAAGCAAAAUCUAGAAGUAAGGUAUUAUGAAAAAAAAAAACCUUUUAUGGAGGGAAGAUGGAGAACUUAAUGCUCAAGGUAAACAGUUUCAAUUAGGAAGUUCUUUGAAGUAUGAUGAGAGCAGUCCAAAAAGAAUCAUACAGACUGCCAAAAUAAAGACCGAAAAACAUUGAAAUUUAUGGAGCUUUUAAGGGCCAUUAACUUAAAGGCCGUUGCCUUUCUUUUUUCUUUCCCCCAUUCUAUUUUAAGAAAUGGAAAGGUGUUUAUUUUUCCCUUGGUCAAUUAGUCUGCAAUAGGAGAAAGGUAGAGAGACAUAUUUUGUAGAUGCUAUGAGAAUUUUAGACAGAGAAAACUCUUCUUCUGACCGAGUUUCUCUCUUAAAAAAAUAAAGUAUAUUAAGAGCUGUAAACAGUCAGGAAUUGUGCUAUAUAUAUAUGUGUGUCUAGAAUGUUAGGUAAAACUUUAAUCACUGAAUUUGUGGGGUAACUGUGGAAUACAUUUAUACCUUUUGCUUCUCUGUUAGAAGUUUGGAAGUUAGAUGUCCUGUUGAUGGAAGCUGUUUAGAAGUUUGAUGCCUGAAGCUUGGCAGCACUGCACACAAAACAGGAUGUUGCUGCCCACAGGUCCAGUGUCUCUAUCUUUGAGUGGCAGCAUUUGAUUUUUGCAGGGACAGUAAAGAGCAAGUGUUGCAGGGACUUGGUGUCUGAGCUGGGGGGAUAAUUACAUAUUUCUGCCCCCACCCAUAAUUAUCUCAGGAGGCAUUUCACCUCCAGGGUUUGAAAGACCUUUCUGUGUACUGGCGCUAGCACAGUGUGGAUGGGAAGAGGAAAACAACCAAGGCAGCCUGCACACAGAGCCUGAAUUAUUACCUGCCAGUGGGGCCAGCAGCUCUCACUGCUCUCCCAAGGCUGCAGAGCAGCAGAGAUGCUGCAUGGUGCUGGGUGGGACCACCUCCUGCAGCACGGCUGCUGCCUCACAUGGAGGGGGUAGGGGGGGGCGAAGCAGGACACUGCAAAGAUGGAGGGAGAAAAUGAGCUGUGCUGCUGCUGUGUGUGUGCCUGCCAGCCCUGGCCGUGCCUGUUGUCACACUUGGUUUUCCAUAAAAUUUGAUUGUUUUUGAUCACCGUUAUUGGUGUGAAAUGUUGUACCCUAAUAAGCUACCAGCAAAAUGCCUGUUGUCCUUAGCCCAACUGGAUCUAGCCAUUUAAAAUGCUUUAGAAGUCACAGCAUAAAUAUCAAAUGUUGAUAGACGCAAAGAAAUAAACUCUGGCAAUACCUGUGGUAUGCCUUCAACCAUAGUGGUGAAUAACAUUAAAAUCUCACUGCCCAGCACUCGUACCAAAAAUCAGGAUGCCUGUGUUUGGCUCACUUGUAGGCUGUGGCAACAUCAUAGUGUUCCCUCUUCAUGUGCCUAAUUCUUCACAUAGUUUGAGGACAAUAUGAACCAGAAUACAUGCAGUCCUUCACCUGUCUAUCACUACCUUCUUUCCUGCUCUCGGGAGAUACUGUUGAUCCUUCUUUCUCUUACAGAUUUGUCCAAACUUGUUAGCACUGGCAAAAGUAAUCUCCAUUUCCUCCUGGCUACUUGACAAAAGGAGGACAACAAACUUCUCUCUGCUGACUAGGAAUACAGUAAACAUUCAUGAUUUCAAGUAUGGUGAUAAGAGCGUAUUGCACCACAGUGCCAUCUCAUAGCAGUUUGUUCAGCUGAGCAUUCACUGGGCCAGCACAUCACCACUGUCAGCAUGCAAAUAAGCUCUCCCAUGCAGCUGAGAAUGAAGGCCAGAAGCCUGAAAAUAACCCAGCAAAGCAUGCCUGUUGUAAGGAAUGAGAGGUACUUGCCAACUUUUAAUCACUGGGCUUAGUGACUGGCAUGACAACAUUUUUCUGAUGGGGAAAUUAUUUACAGGCAGUUGGAAGGUCAGGAGGCUGUCUGAAACACUCAAUGGCAAAAUUAGAGUUAGCCUUUCAGUCAACCAUGUUGCUCAGGUACCUGCUUGGUGUUCCAGUGUUAACGUGCAGUACAUUCGAAGUGCAGCCACCUUCACUGUAUGUUUCGGUGUACAAAAUUACCUUCUAAUUAAGAAAUAAGCACAGUGGUAGGGAGGAUUCCACUUUGAGUCUCAGCUUGGCUGUGAGACUCAGUGCAAGCCGUGUAGUGGGCUGUUAGAGUGGUUUGCUUGAUUCUGUUUCUUGUGUCAAACGUUUGUCAGUGUUGAUGAUGAAUAGUAGGGAAAAAUACUGAAUAAGCCCUAAGUGAUUAAUUAGAAUAUUAGUUUAGUAUUUCUGCUGCCAGACAGUCAUGCAGUCCCUGGCAUUACUGCUUAAGGUCUAAAAUGUUGAGAGAGGAAGAGGAAUUUCAAAUAUGUUUAUUCUUAUCCAGAUAAUCUCUGAAUUUAAACUCUAAUAAAGCUUUUCACCGGAAUGAGAUGUUAACUAGCCAAUACUUUAUUCACACUUCAGUUAAACAACGUUUACCUCGGUGAAAGGCACCCAAACUGUGCUACUCUGUGCUACCCUGUUUCUGUGGAAACUGUGUGUUGGAGUGGAAUAGGAAUAAUGGUGGAGAAAAGGAGAGCAGUAGCGUUUUGGCUGAAGUCCUGUUGGCCAGCCCCCGUUUCAGCUGGGAUAAGUCAGCCAAGCAAGGCCUCAGUGCUGGAGCCCCGACAGUUCUUUUUCCUCCUCCUCCUAACUUGUGCCGAGGGAGGAGUCUGCUUCACAGACACCAUUCAAAAAGUGCUUGCUAAAGCAAUUUAUCUGUAUUUUCCCCUGGUUUUUCAUGCAACAAGAAUUUUAGCCAGUCAGUAAUGUUAGUCAAUAGCUGCCUACACUGGUAGGGUAAGGUUUGUUCUGAAAAGAACUUCCAUUGACGCGUAUGUUACUCAGUCACUGCUCUUCUAAAAAGCACCACUGUAUUCUUGGAAAGAAACUCUCCCAAAACUGAAAAGACACAUUUUUCAUCAUUCAGGGGUUUCCAAAAUAUGCAUAUGUUUGAUGGAUUGCCAGGAAAGACAGACAGCCUUGACCAGUAAACUCAGCUCUGUAUUCUCUCUUCUCUGGUAGCUGUUUCACUGACAUUCAUGUUGUUUUCUCCUGGAAUAAGGUAUCUUUCUUAAAAAUAAAAUAUGAAUUAACAGAAAAAUAUAUUUUAUUGUUUUUUCUGUUGUUAUGAUUUCUGUUAAUCAGUGAUUGCCUGC
ensembl:lncRNA